GUGUACUUCCGCCCGCUGAUGUGCCUUGCUAGACAAGGUGAAGCUUUGCAGUUUACAUAACAGGAGAAGAGCGAUGGAAGGGGUGGAGUGCGCAGUCGCGCUAGGACGGCCUGCGAGCAUACUUUCCCCAACACUUGGGCAGCCCCUUCACAGCCUCACCUCUACAAGAGCCCUCUUAUCUUCUGCUGGGUUCUGUACCUUGAGCUAGCAUCUUGGGACUCAUAAGUUCACGCAACUAUCUCAGCUUAAACUACCCUUGAUACAAGACUGCAAAUGGGCAUUUAAAACCACUCGGAGUAAACUUUAUUGGUGGCCCAGGGCCAGCUUUUGGUAGAAGACAUUGUCUACUGUCCAUGAGGUCUGAAGUAACCGAGUAGAGUCAUCUCAAGGAGUCACGGCUAAUGCAAGAGUUUCCGAAGGCAAUACUUAACAGUUGGGGCAGUGGUUAAUUGCAGUGGUUUCCCUGACUGAAUCAAAGUCUCUUUGGGGGCAUCCACAGCUGACGUGAAGUUGUCUCUGGACAUCAGUGGCUAUUGCAGAGUUUGGAGCAAUAGUUGCAGUUCCCUUGACGACAGCCUGAGGAACCUCCAGGGGCGGCUGCUUGGUUUAUAGUUCCUGCUUGAUUAGCAACUUGAAGGUCUCCAGAAAUUGUGAGACCCAAGUUGCAAUUACCACUACCCUCAUAGUCCUCCAAUCCUUCAGGCUUGACAGCAAUAUCAUUUACAGCCUUAGCAGACUUGGAAAUAGUGGAGACAGUGCAGCAACUCCCAAGUCAGCGUAAGUCUCUGCCAGGCAUUGGAUAGUUUCUCAGUAUCUUAGUUACUUUUCUGUUGCUUCGAUAAAACACCACCAUGUGACAUACUUCCACAAACAAGGCCGUGUGUUACGAAAGGUUCUUUGAAACGGCUGGUCCUGCCUCCCUUCAGCCCCAAAUGAACACCUGCAUGCUAUAUUAGUUAUAAAACUGUUGGCCGGUGCCUUGGGCUUCUUAUUGACUAGCUCUGUCUUAAUUAUUAACCAAUUUCUAUCAAUCUUAUGUAUUGCUGUGAGGCUGUGGCUUACCCGGCAAAUGCCCCAACAUGUUGUUACUCUGGGUGGCCCGCCCACUCUGUCUACCUUUCCCAGAAUUCUCCUUAUCUCAUAGACCCACCUCAUUGGCCAAACAGUGUUUUAUUCACUAGCCAAUAGAAGAAACAUAUACACAGAAGGACAACCCCCCACCAGCCAUGCCUUCCAAACCUACCCAAACUGUCACCAACUGAGGACCAGGUACGUAAUAUCUGAGCCUAUGGGGGACAUUCUCAUUCAGAACACUGUACUAAGUUUUUUCUCUCAGGCAACUGCUGCUACGGCCUGAUGGCACUUAUCUGUCCAGAAACCAAACUUUUGGUUGGAUUUUUUUGUCUACUUGACACAAGCUAGAGUUAUGGGAAAGGAAGACCUCAGCUGAGAAAAUACUUCCAUCGGAUUGCCUACAGGCAGCCCUGUAGGAUAUUUUCUUGACCAAUAAUUCCACACGGGAGGACCCAGCCUUCUGGGGGGCAGUGCCCACCCCUGUGCAGAGUGUCCUGGGUUGUAUAAUAUAGCAAUCUGAACAAGCCACAGAAAGCAAGCCAGUAGGUAGCAUUCCUUCGUGACUUCUGAUUCAGUUCCUGCCUCCAGAUGACUGCCUUGGCCUCCCUCAGUGGACUAUAACCCAGGAUAUCGACACCAAAUCAGCCCUUUCCUCUCCAGAUUGCUUUUGGUCAUGGUAUUAUAUCAUAGUAAUAGAAACACUUGGUACAAGGUUCAUGGGAGAUUGCUGUAACAGACCCGACCAUGUUUGGGGAAAUGAUCGUGGAAGGACUUUGGAACUUUGGACUAGAAAGGCCAUUGAGUGUUCUGUGCUUACUGAGCUGUUGUGGGAGUUUGGAAGAUAAUGCUGAGAACAAUGCAGGUGACACAAGCCUGGCUUUUGAGGUUCAGAGGGAAGCUUGAGAGUUUCUUAAAGGCACUAUCAGGGCUCUUCCAUGUUUUGAGUUAAGAAUCUAGGAACUACAGAAUUGGCUCAGUGGUUAAGAGUACCUGUUGCUAUUGAAGGGGACCUAAGUUUGAGUCCUAAUACCCACAGGGCAGUUCACAAAACAUCUAUCAUUCCAGUCCCAAGGGAUCUCUGAUGCUCCCCUCUGACUUUCUAGGGCACUAGACAAGCACAUACAUUCAUAAACACUCAUUCACAUAAAGUAAAAUAAAUAAUAAAGAGAAUCAGUGGUUCUGGCCAGCAGAAACUGAAGAAUCAGGCAUGUUUAAUGAGAGACAAGAACCAUCAAAAUGAAACUUGCUUUGCUGGGACAAGAACAAACCAGUAUCAUUGAGGCAAUGUCUUCUGGGAAGUGUUUCAUCAGUGCUAGCACACAGAAGCUGUGGUCCAGCCAUGGCCAAGUGUAUACUUCAUACUGGCAGCCAUGGAGAGCAGCUGAGGCUUGGCGCUGUGAGAGUCCAGGAGAGGACAUAGGUGAAGUCCAGCUCCAGCAAAGACCCCAGCAGUUUGGAGAUGUCAGUCCCAUAGAUACGUCCAUCAAGGACAACAGCAGCUGUGGAAUGCAGUCAGCCUGAGCCUGUGAAAUGUACCAUGUGGGCAUAGCUCAAGCCCUUUAGAACCCAGAAGAUCGUGAGUCUCAGACAUCUGACACUCCUGGACUUCGGUUUUUUACUUUGAUUUGAAUAUAACUGUGCCCUGGUUUUCCCCUCUUGGAGUAAGAAAAUAUUUAACUUGUUUUGAUUUUUAUAGGAGCCCACAGUCGAGAGACUUUGGACUUUUAAAGAGGCAUUGUGUUUUUUUUUUUAAAUAGAACUUGGACUUUUAAAGUGUUGAAAAAUUUAAAGCCGUGGGACUUUUUUUAAAGUUAUGUUUUAAAUUGUGAUACUGAUAUUAACAUGAGAUCUUGGAAAUAAAACAAAAGAAGGGCAGGGUUGUGGUUUAAUAGAGAUGUAUUUGUGUGUUUGUGUGUUGGGGUGGUAAGAAAUCAAUUAUUCUGUUUUCUUGCUUUUGUCUUUGUUUUUUGUCAACUUGACACAAGCUAGAGUUAUCUGGGAAGAAAAACCUCAAUUAGGAAACUCUUUCCAUCAGAUAACAAGUCUGUAGGGCAUUUUCUUGCUUAACGACUCAUGUAGAAGAGUGCAGUUCUCUGCAGUGCCAUUCUGGGUAGGGAGUCCUGAUAUGUAUAAUAAAACAGGAAGAGUGCCAAUGGAAAACAAGCCAAUUUCUCCAUGACUACUGAUUGAAUUCCUGCUAUAGUUCCUGCUUUUGGUUCCUGCCCUGCAUUUCCUUGGUGAUGGAGUGUAUAACCUAAGAGUUAUGAGACAAAAUAAAUCCUUCCCUCUCCAA